rfam:Dipodomys ordii contig_74150, whole genome shotgun sequence.
GGGAAGCUGGCUCAGUGGUAGAGCACUUGCCUUGCAUACAUGAGGCCCUGGGUUCGAUUCCUCAGCACCACA